CAGCCGCCGCGGUAAUACGUAGGGUGCAAGCGUUAAUCGGAAUUACUGGGCGUAAAGCGUGCGCAGGCGGUUUGUUAAGACAGAUGUGAAAUCCCCGGGCUUAACCUGGGAACUGCAUUUGUGACUGGCAAGCUAGAGUAUGGCAGAGGGGGGUGGAAUUCCGCGUGUAGCAGUGAAAUGCGUAGAUAUGCGGAGGAACACCGAUGGCGAAGGCAGCCCCCUGGGCCAAUACUGACGCUCAUGCACGAAAGCGUGGGGAGCAAACAGGAUUAGAUACCCCUGUAGUCCCUGUCUCUUAUAA
rnacentral:rRNA from 1 species